rnacentral:rRNA from 1 species
AUUGAACGCUGGCGGCAUGCUUUACACAUGCAAGUCGAACGGUAACAGGCCGCAAGGUGCUGACGAGUGGCGAACGGGUGAGUAAUGCAUCGGAACGUGCCCAGUCGUGGGGGAUAACGCAGCGAAAGCUGCGCUAAUACCGCAUACGAUCUAUGGAUGAAAGCGGGGGACCGUAAGGCCUCGCGCGAUUGGAGCGGCCGAUGUCAGAUUAGGUAGUUGGUGGGGUAAAGGCUCACCAAGCCAACGAUCUGUAGCUGGUCUGAGAGGACGACCAGCCACACUGGGACUGAGACACGGCCCAGACUCCUACGGGAGGCAGCAGUGGGGAAUUUUGGACAAUGGGCGCAAGCCUGAUCCAGCAAUGCCGCGUGCAGGAAGAAGGCCUUCGGGUUGUAAACUGCUUUUGUACGGAGCGAAAAGGCUCUCUCUAAUACAGGGGGCUCGUGACGGUACCGUAAGAAUAAGCACCGGCUAACUACGUGCCAGCAGCCGCCGCGGUAA